CCUACGGGAGGCAGCAGUGAGGAAUAUUGGUCAAUGGCCGAAAGUCUGAACCAGCCAAGUAGCGUGAAGGAUGACUGCCCUAUGGGUUGUAAACUUCUUUUAUAUGGGAGUAAAACAGGGUAUGCAUACCCUCUUGUGUGUACCAUAUGAAUAAGGAUCGGCUAACUCCGUGCCAGCAGCCGCGGUAAUACGGAGGAUCCGAGCGUUAUCCGGAUUUAUUGGGUUUAAAGGGAGCGUAGGUGGAUUGUUAAGUCAGUGGUGAAAGUUUGCGGCUCAACCGUAAAAUUGCAGUUGAAACUGGCAGUCUUGAGUGCAGUAGAGGUGGGCGGAAUUCGUGGUGUAGCGGUGAAAUGCUUAGAUAUCACGAAGAACUCCGAUUGCGAAGGCAGCUUACUGGACCGCAACUGACACUGAUGCUCGAAAGUGUGGGUAUCAAACAGGAUUAGAUACCCUUGUAGUC
rnacentral:rRNA from 1 species